rnacentral:lncRNA from 1 species
AAGAAAAUAAAAGGUCACUAUUAUGAAAAUAUUUAGGAAGCAAUUAUGGUAACGAGGGAAUCACUAACUUUUACAUUUCUAGAAAUAGCCAGGGGGCGCCUGGGUGGUGUAGCGGGUUAAGCGUCCAACUCUUGGUUUUGGCUGGGGUCAUGAUCUCAGGGUCUCAGGGUCGUGAGAUCGAGCCCACACUGGCUCCAUGCUCCGUGUGAGUCUGCUCGAGAUUCUCUCUCCCUCUGCCCCUCCCACUUGUGCUCUCUCUUUCUCUAAAAUUAAAAAAAAAAAAAAAUAGAAAAAGACAUAGCCAAAUACUCAAAAUUAACAAUUAAAUGAUUGAAUUAUUCUUGGAUUAGUUUUUUUAAUGGAGAUACUUAAUUGAGAGUGCUGAAGAUUGCCUGCUUUUUCCCCAGUCUUCUGAUUCUUACUAUUCAAAUUUAGAUAAAGAAUGAUGUCCCUCAGUGAUCUGCUCACACACUGAUUUUAUUACAGAAAAGAGCAAGACAGUCUCCAACUAGAAAAGUGAGGUACACAGUACCGUGACUCCCACACUGCUCCUCCUCUGCCUAGUCCUCCUCUUUGAGACUGACAUUCAUCACAUCGUAAUGAACGUGUCUGUGACUCUGUUCCAAUUCCUGGCAGAUUUGAUCGGCGAGUAUCAGAUGAGAAGAGUGAUCUGGGAUCAAGACCAGGAAGAAGUUAAGGAGGUUGGAUGGAAACGGAAAAAGCGAAGGGAGGUGAGUCUGGAGUUCAAAAAAAAAGGGAAAAAAAAAAAAAAAGGGAAAAAAAAGUUUCAAAACCAGUUUUGAAAAAUAAAAUAAUGCUUUUCUAUAAAUAGAAACA